UCUCAAAGUAGAAUUUAUACCGAAUCACUUUAAAGUUGGAGGCUACGAAAAAGUGGAUAUACAAGUAGAACUUGAUGCCCUUAGACUGUGCUCUCGUCGACUUUUCGUGGUGCGUGCUAAAGUAGAGCAUGCCUACAAACCGCUGUAUCUAGUGAUUGAUGCUGCAGUGGCUGGGUUGGUAGUGAGCUGCGAGGUGCCUCUAGGUGAUGCAGUAGACACCGACGCUACGUUCGUGAUGAGACGG